rnacentral:pre_miRNA from 1 species
CACAUAAUUUCUCCGUUCGAAAUUACUUGUUGCAGAAAUGGAUGUAUUUAGAUGUAUUUUAGUUUUAGAUACAUUCAUUUUCGAGACAAGUAAUUCCGAACGGAGGGAGUAUAUA